AUUGAACGCUGGCGGCAUGCUUUACACAUGCAAGUCGAACGGCAGCACGGUCUGCGGUCUUUCUGAGGGGUGGGCAGUGGUGGAUGGUUCAGGAACACGUCCCCAUGUGCUUUUUAGAGGCGGGCAACGGAGGGAAACAUACCCUAUUAGCCCUUACGGACAACGGGUGAAAGCAAGGGACCUCCCGCUCUUGCGCGCUCCUAUGAGUCGAUGUCGGAUUAGUGAGUUGGCGGGGUAAAGGCCCACCAAGGCGACGAUCCGUAGCUGGUCUGAGAGGACGACCAGCCACACUGGGACUGAGACACGGCCCAGACUCCUACGGGAGGCAGCAGUGGGGAAUUUUGGACAAUGGGGGCAAGCCUGAUCCAGCCAUGCCGCGUGCGGGAAGAAGGCCUUCGGGUUGUAAACCGCUUUUGUUCGGAAAGAAAAGCUGCGGGUUAAUACCCCGGGGUGAUGACGGUACCGGAAGAAUAAGCACCGGCUAACUACGUG
rnacentral:rRNA from 1 species